UACGUAGGGUGCAAGCGUUUGUCCGGAAUUAUUGGGCGUAAAGAGCUCGUAGGCGGUCUGUCGCGUCGGCUGUGAAAUCCCGAGGCUCAACCUCGGGUCUGCAGUCGAUACGGGCAAACUAGAGUAUUGCAGGGGAGACUGGAAUUCCUGGUAUAGCGGUGAAAUGCGCAGAUAUCAGGAGGAACACCGGUGGCGAAAGCGACUCUCUGGACGGCAACUGACGCUGAGGCACGAAAGCGUGGGGAGCAAACAGG
rnacentral:rRNA from 1 species